CUAGUGAGGGACAGAACCAGGAUUC
rnacentral:miRNA from 1 species